UACGUAGGGAGCAAGCGUUGUUCGGAUUUACUGGGCGUAAAGGGCGCGUAGGCGGCGCGGUAAGUCACUUGUGAAAUCUCUGAGCUUAACUCAGAACGGCCAAGUGAUACUGCAGUGCUAGAGUGCAGAAGGGGCAAUCGGAAUUCUUGGUGUAGCGGUGAAAUGCGUAGAUAUCAAGAGGAACACCUGAGGUGAAGACGGGUUGCUGGGCUGACACUGACGCUGAGGCGCGAAGGCGUGGGGAGCGAACAGG
rnacentral:rRNA from 1 species